UAGGGAAUCUUCCGCAAUGGACGAAAGUCUUACGGAGCAACGCCGCGUGAGUGAAGAAGGAUUUCGGUUCGCAAAACUCUGUUGUUAGGGAAGAAAAAAUGUAUAGUAACUAUAUACAACAGAGACGGUACCUAACCAGAAAGCCACGGCUAACUACGUGCCAGCAGCCGCGGUAAUACGUAGGUGGCAAGCGUUGUCCGGAAUUAUUGUGCGUAAAGCGCGCGCAGGUGGUUUAUAAAAUCUGAUGUGAAAGCCCACGGCUCAACCGUGGAGGGUCAUUGGAAACUAAUAAGCUUGAGUGCAGGAAGGAAAAGUUGAAUUCCUAGUUUAGCGGUGAAAUGCGUAGAGAUUAGGAGGAAAACCAGUGGCUAAAGCGGCUUUUUGGCCUGCAACUGACACUGAGGCGCGAAAGCGUGGGGAGCAAACAGG
rnacentral:rRNA from 1 species